AUUGAACGCUGGCGGCAUGCCUUACACAUGCAAGUCGAACGGUAACAGGUCUUCGGAUGCUGACGAGUGGCGAACGGGUGAGUAAUACAUCGGAACGUGCCCGAUCGUGGGGGAUAACGGAGCGAAAGCUUUGCUAAUACCGCAUACGAUCUACGGAUGAAAGCAGGGGACCGCAAGGCCUUGCGCGAACGGAGCGGCCGAUGGCAGAUUAGGUAGUUGGUGGGAUAAAAGCUUACCAAGCCGACGAUCUGUAGCUGGUCUGAGAGGACGACCAGCCACACUGGGCCUGAGACACGGCCCAGACUCCUACGGGAGGCAGCAGUGGGGAAUUUUGGACAAUGGGCGCAAGCCUGAUCCAGCAAUGCCGCGUGCAGGAUGAAGGCCUUCGGGUUGUAAACUGCUUUUGUACGGAACGAAAAGGCUCUGGUUAAUACCUGGGGCUCAUGACGGUACCGUAAGAAUAAGCACCGGCUAACUACGUGCCAGCCGCCGCGGUAAUAC
rnacentral:rRNA from 1 species